rnacentral:lncRNA from 1 species
AAUACGCGUAUGGUCAUGACCGUGCGUAUGGGUAUAUAUUUAUAUAUAUACUCGUAUGAUCAGACCAUACGCGUAUGGUCCGAUGGUACGCGUAUGGUCGGGAUAAUUAACAAGUUAACACUUAACACUUAAACAAAUCUUCAUUAGGUAUGACUCUUUUAAGUUGUCAAAGGUCAUUUUAUUAUAUUAUAAUGAUAAAAAAUAUAAAUAAGCAGUUCAUCAUGCAUUUACUUUUACUCACUAGUCACAACUAAAGUUAAAGCAUUGCAUAGCAAUGGUUAUUACCGAUAUGAUAUUACGAGUGCAUGGCAUUAUGUCGCCUUGGGGAGAAAUUUUGAAAAACAAAAUAAUGAACUGUUAUGGAAUUUCCCAAGACCACGGUAUCACUCCACGCUUUUCAUUCUAAAACAAAAGG